rnacentral:rRNA from 1 species
GACGAACGCUGGCGGCGUGCCUAAUACAUGCAAGUCGAGCGGACAGAAGGGAGCUUGCUCCCGGAAGUUAGCGGCGGACGGGUGAGUAACACGUGGGCAACCUACCCUGUAGAUCGGGAUAACAUCGAGAAAUCGGUGCUAAUACCGGAUAAUCAUUUGAAGUGCAUGCUUCGAAUGUAAAAGAUGGCUCCGGCUAUCACUACGGGAUGGGCCCGCGGCGCAUUAGCUAGUUGGUAAGGUAAUGGCUUACCAAGGCAACGAUGGGUAGCCGACCUGAGAGGGUGACCGGCCACACUGGGACUGAGACACGGCCCAGACUCCUACGGGAGGCAGCAGUAGGGAAUCUUCCGCAAUGGACGAAAGUCUGACGGAGCAACGCCGCGUGAGUGAUGAAGGUUUUCGGAUCGUAAAGCUCUGUUGUUAGGGAAGAACAAGUGCCGUUUGAAUAAGGCGGCACCUUGACGGUACCUAACCAGAAAGCCACGGCUAACUACGUGCCAGCCGCCGCAGUAAAAC